GAUGAACGCUAGCGGCGGGCUUAAUACAUGCAAGUCGAGGGGUAGCAAUACACCGGCGCACGGGUGCGUAACGCGUAUGCAACCUACCUUUAUCUGGGGGAUAGCCCGGGGAAACCCGGAUUAAUACCGCAUAACAAAUUGAUUGGCAUCAAUUGAUUUUAAAAGAUUUAUCGGAUAGAGAUGGGCAUGCGUAAGAUUAGAUAGUUGGCGAGGUAACGGCUCACCAAGUCUACGAUCUUUAGGGGCUCUGAGAGGAGAAUCCCCCACACUGGCACUGAGAUACGGGCCAGACUCCUACGGGAGGCAGCAGUAGGGAAUAUUGGGCGAUGGGCGCAAGCCUGACCCAGCCACGCCGCGUGCAGGAAGACGGCCCUCUGGGUUGUAAACUGCUUUUGACUGGGAAGAAAAGACUCCUUGCGAGGAGAGUUGACGGUACCAGCAGAAUAAGCCACGGCUAACUACGUGCCAGCAGCCGCCGUAAAAC
rnacentral:rRNA from 1 species